rnacentral:rRNA from 1 species
UACGGAGGAUCCCAGCGGUAUCAGGAUUUAUUGGGUUUAAAGGGUGCGUAGGGGGAUAAGUAAGUCAGUGGUGAAAGCCUGCAGCUUAACUGUAGAAUUGCCAUUGAUACUGCUUGUCUUGAGGACAGUUGAGGUGGGCGGAAUAUGACAUGUAGCGGUGAAAUGCUUAGAUAUGUCAUAGAACACCGAUUGCGAAGGCAGCUCGCUAAACUGUAUCUGACGCUGAGGCAAGAAAGCGUGGGGAUCAAACAGG